GUGGGGAAUAUUGGACAAUGGGGGGAACCCUGAUCCAGCCAUGCCGCGUGUGUGAAGAAGGCCUUUUGGUUGUAAAGCACUUUAAGCGAGGAGGAGGCUACCGAGAUUAAUACUCUUGGAUAGUGGACGUUACUCGCAGAAUAAGCACCGGCUAACUCUGUGCCAGCAGCCGCGGUAAUACAGAGGGUGCAAGCGUUAAUCGGAUUUACUGGGCGUAAAGCGCGCGUAGGUGGCUAAUUAAGUCAAAUGUGAAAUCCCCGAGCUUAACUUGGGAAUUGCAUUCGAUACUGGUUAGCUAGAGUAUGGGAGAGGAUGGUAGAAUUCCAGGUGUAGCGGUGAAAUGCGUAGAGAUCUGGAGGAAUACCGAUGGCGAAGGCAGCCAUCUGGCCUAAUACUGACACUGAGGUGCGAAAGCAUGGGGAGCAAACAGGAUUAGAAACCCCGGUAGUCC
rnacentral:rRNA from 1 species